rnacentral:rRNA from 1 species
UACGUAGGGGGCAAGCGUUGUCCGGAAUCAUUGGGCGUAAAGAGCGUGUAGGCGGCUCGAUAAGUCCGCUGUGAAAGUCCAGGGCUCAACCCUGGAAUGCCGGUGGAUACUGUCGGGCUCGAAUCCGGAAGAGGUGAGUGGAAUUCCUGGUGUAGCGGUGAAAUGCGCAGAUAUCAGGAGGAACACCAAUGGCGAAGGCAGCUCACUGGGACGGUAUUGACGCUGAGACGCGAAAGCGUGGGGAGCAAACAGG